rnacentral:rRNA from 1 species
GACGAACGCUGGCGGCCUGCUUAACACAUGCUAGUCGAACGUAAAGGCCCUGCUUUUGUGGGGUGCUCGAGUGGCGAACGGGUGAGUAACACGUUAGUAACUUGCCCUUGACUUUGGGAUAACUUCAGGAAACUGGGGCUAAUACCGGAUAGGAGCUCCUGCUGCAUGGUGGGGGUUGGAAAGUUUCGGCGGUUGGGGAUGGACUCGCGGCUUAUCAGCGUGUUGGUGGGGUAGUGGCUUACCAAGGCUUUGACGGGUAGCCGGCCUGAGAGGGUGACCGGCCACAUUGGGACUGAGAUACGGCCCAGACUCCUACGGGAGGCAGCAGUGGGGAAUAUUGCACAAUGGGCGGAAGCCUGAUGCAGCAACGCCGCGUGCGGGAUGACGGCCUUCGGGUUGUAAACCGCUUUCGCCUGUGACGAAGCGUGAGUGACGGUAAUGGGUAAAGAAGCACCGGCUAACUACGUG